rnacentral:lncRNA from 1 species
UCUAAUAAUAUUAUUUAAACAAUAAUGUUUAAAAUAAUAAUAAUUCAGAUGUAAAUAUUGGAUGCUACUUUUUGUUCCUUGUAGAAAAAGAAAGAAGGGAUGGAGGAAGAAAGAAGGAAGUUAAAGAAGAUGAAUGAGGAGCACAAGGACAAAGAAGGUUGGAGAAGACAUCAUUAUAGACAGUUGAAGCGAACAGAGCCAGGGCGAGGGGCGGCAGGAGCAGCAGUUGGUACCGCUGCAGCUUCGCUGUGGUUCCUCAUGCCCUGUGGAAGUUAGUCUGUCAUGCUCAGUCCAAGGUGGCAGCCUGGAGACUCAGUGCCAUGUGACUUUCAGUCAAGCCCAGAGAAGCUGUCAACAUGGAGAGAGAGAGAAAGAGAGAGAGAGAGACAGAGACAGAGACAGAGACACAGAACACAGAGAGAAAUCCUGAACACAUGGGAGCGAGAAAUGACUACCCACAUGGGAUUCAAUUGCUUUUCACAUGUUAUUUCCCAUUGCGCAAGUGCCUCCCUCACCAAUUUCUCACCCCCUGCUAAUUCCUUCCCCGCCAGCACAGCAGAGAAUAAGAACGUAGCAAUUGGUAUAUGUUGGUGGAUGCUGUACAGACUGGGACAGUGUGAGCUUUUCUAUUUCUGUUCAUCGUGAAAGAGGGCACAUGGAGCAGGGAGCUUUCGACAGCUCUUAUGGGCCCUUUGGCCAGAAACGGACUGAUACCUGCAGGAUCCAGAAAUUGUUAUUUAGGAUGACCUUUAAAUGUGUUGCACUGUGGAUAAUUAGAACCUACAUUAGAUUUCUGAGAGGCAGUAUAGCAAUGUGCUGAGGAACAAGCCCUGGACCAGAAUCUUGACUCUCUAUCUUUAUUAGGGUUACGUCCUAUUAGGUGGGGUUUUUGGAUCGAUUAUUUAGCCUCUUUUUGCCUGAUUUUCCUUGCUGUCUACUUUAUAUGACCAGCUUGUGGUGGAGCAUAAUGUUAAUUUUCAAAGUAUUAAAAUGUGUCAGGCUCAUGACAGAUGCAGUUUUAAUGUUUACUAUUACUUCAUAGCUAAUAUCAAUCUUGUUUUUUUAUAUGCCGACACAAAACACUGGGCUCCAGGAAUGGCUUCCUUAAUGCAGUGGAGUUACAUAACAUAGUGUUAGAAACAGUAACUGCAGUGAGCACAGAAUUAACAUAUGUGAUAAGUAGGGAUUGCCAAGUUUUAAAGAACUCACAGAGAGCGCUGUCAAAUGCAACACUUCCUUCAGUCAGUGCGACUCAAAUCAACCAUUUUCUUUCUUUUUUUCCCCUCCGGUACUGUGGUCAGCAAUGUCUGUGGCUUCCUUUAAUCUCCCCAGCAGCUCUGCGCACUGUGUUUUAUUAUCAUCUUACUUAAGUCACAGACAAAUAGAACAGUCACGUAGGAAAUCAGUGAAAUUCAAGCCAUAAAUCUGAGUACUCUGAA